rnacentral:lncRNA from 1 species
CUCCUGCUAUUUCUAAAGGAAAAGGAUUAAUCCACAUUUAUACUGACUUAUUUUUAUUUCUGAAAUGAAUAAAGGUCUUGGAUUUCAUCCCCAAAGUCUCCUCUCACUUUCACAUGCUCCAUGUCCAUAAUUCUGAUUCUUCUGCGUCCUGUGUUUGCCAAACAGAAUGUGAUAAACAUUCUGAAGCCGAGCUGACCUCAGUUCCAAAGCCAGUGUCUGGGACAACCAAAGGAGCCUGGGAUGCUAGUCCUGCUGACCUUCCCCAGGCUGCCAGCCAAAGGCAUUCUGGAAAAUGUUACUUGGAAAGUCCCAGUCAAGACAGGAAGCUUGGCAGAAAGAGCCUAGGUCCUGCCCUCAGGGCACUGACGUUCUCUUGUGAGGGUGGAUGCACCAGAUGCAACGGGAAGCAAAUAGGACGAGGUGCCCCACAUAACAAGCCAGAGGGGAUCUGGAUCUCAAAAGAACCAUUCACAUCAUCAUCUUUGAAAGAAGUCCCAACUUACAGGUACCCCUUUUCUUGAUUACCAGCACUUGCUUUUCUUGUUUUGUUCUUUCCUUCUAUAAUGUGAUCUAGUAGACUACCAUGCAUUCAGCCAAUCCUGCUCUAUUAAUUUCUAUUAAAAAUUAUUUUGCCAAGUAUUGAUUUUUCACCAUUAUGAAUUUACAUCAAAUAUAUCAGCAGGAACCUAGUGAGUCUCACCAUUUGCCUAGUGCCAUGAGACUCUCAAUAGUUGUCACAAUCAUAGCAGAGAGGGUAGUUUCCUGGGCUUCCUUAUUAUUGGAGUAAAAGCUCAAAAGAGACAAGGAAUUUUCCCAUUGGUGUAACAACCUAAGAACAGAAGAGUGCUCUCUGUAAAGAGGGAUGGAGCCUAGAGAACAACAUAUAAUGUUCUAGUUCUACUUAAACUCUUAAAACAAGUAACCACAGAGUUAGUCACUUUUCCAAUAGUGUCCUUAUGGACUAGAUAAAUACCCAAAUGUAUACUCAAAUAAUGCCCAAAUAAAUACUCAGUUGGACUUUCCUGGAAUUCUGUU